rnacentral:rRNA from 1 species
GAUGAACGCUGGCGGCGUGCCUAAUACAUGCAAGUCGAGCGAACAGAUGAGGAGCUUGCUCCUCUGACGUUAGCGGCGGACGGGUGAGUAACACGUGGAUAACCUACCUAUAAGACUGGGAUAACUUCGGGAAGCCGGAGCUAAUACCGGAUAAUAUAUUGAACCGCAUUGUUCAAUAGUGAAAGACGGUUUUGCUGUCACUUAUAGAUUGAUCCGCGCCGCAUUAGCUAGUUGGUAAGGUAACGGCUUACCAAGGCAACGAUGCGUAUCCGACCUGAGAGGGUGAUCGGCCACACUGGCACAGAGACACAGUACAGACUCCUACGGGGGGCAGCAGUAGGGAAUCUUCCGCAAUGGGCGAAAGCCUAACGGAGCAACGCCGCGUGAGUGAUGAAGGUCUUCGGAUCGUAAAACUCUGUUAUUAGGGAAGAACAAAUGUGUAAGUAACUAUGCACGUCUUGACGGUACCUAAUCAGAAAGCCCCGGCUAACUACGUG